GACAGAGGGUGCAAACGUUGUUCGGAAUUAUUGGGCGUAAAGCGCGCGCAGGUGGUUUCUUAAGUCUGAUGUGAAAGCCCACGGCUCAACCGUGGAGGGUCAUUGGAAACUGGGGAACUUGAGUGCAGGAGAGAAGAGUGGAAUUCCACGUGUAGCGGUGAAAUGCGUAGAGAUGUGGAGGAACACCAGUGGCGAAGGCGACUCUUUGGCCUGUAACUGACACUGAGGCGCGAAAGCGUGGGGAGCAAACAGG
rnacentral:rRNA from 1 species